rnacentral:rRNA from 1 species
AUUGAACGCUGGCGGCAUGCCUUACACAUGCAAGUCGAACGGUAACAGGUCUUCGGAUGCUGACGAGUGGCGAACGGGUGAGUAAUACAUCGGAACGUGCCUAGUAGUGGGGGAUAACUACUCGAAAGAGUGGCUAAUACCGCAUGAGAUCUACGGAUGAAAGCAGGGGAUCGCAAGACCUUGUGCUACUAGAGCGGCCGAUGGCAGAUUAGGUAGUUGGUGGGAUAAAAGCUUACCAAGCCGACGAUCUGUAGCUGGUCUGAGAGGACGAUCAGCCACACUGGGAGUGAGACACGCCCAAGACUCCUACGGGAGGCAGCAGGGGGGAAUUUUGGACAAUGGGCGCAAGCCUGAUCCAGCAAUGCCGCGUGCAGGAGGAAGGCCUUCGGGUUGUAAACUGCUUUUGUACGGAACGAAAAGCCCCGGGUUAAUACCCUGGGGUCAUGACGGUACCGUAAGAAUAAGCACCGGCUAACUACGUGCCAGCCGCCGCGGUAA